CAACAAGUAAGUCGAAGCUCGUUUUGUCAGAUUGCACCUGUGGAUCACACCACCUUUGUCAGCCACAAGUUAAACAAAUGGUUGCACCCGACGUCACGCCUGGUUGCCGACGCUUUGGAUGGAUUGAUGGAUGCUACAACGCAAGUAAAGAUGUGGACUAUGAGGCAGCUUGCUGCGAGGCUUUCGCGGCUCGCUGCGAAGAAUGUGUUCCCGUGGUGCAAGCGAACCAGACUGGACAUCGGAUAAAGG